CAAUUGGAACACAUUGCUGCUCCCCAUUAGAUGACGACUUGCAUGCUGCAUUUACGUGGGGCAAGUCUGAAACCUCCUGCUCCUUUUGGUACAGAGCGUCCACCCAGGCAACAGCUAAAAGCUUUGUUGCUCGCUAUGCCUCAUCUAACAGCACUGAACGUACUGUCUGACAAAAGGCACCGAGGGCUCCUGUAAAUCAGUCUUCCUGUAUACCUGUGUGCUGGCAAGUGGGCAAUGAAGUCUUACAGUGACGUGUGAUGAUGUCACCUGAACUGGAAUCCAUCUUUAACCUGGUGUCUUUCCUUUGAGAAGGAGUGAGUGGGAACCCAGAGAGGGACAAAGGAUUUCCCCCUUAUGCAAAAGAUAUAUAAAGGGGUGAAACAGAACAAAGAGAAGCAGCCAUCAUGAGAAAUCCCAUAGCUACCACCUGAGCUGGAACAAGGGCUGUACCAGGGGAAAGGAUUAUGUCCAGACUAGGAAGGCGUCCAGUCUGUGAAAGAAACGUAUUGAAACAUCUCUGAGGGUGAGAUUUUAUCUGUAUUCAGUUUCUUACUGUAUUAGACAGACUUGUGUGUUUUAUUUUAUUUUGCUUGGUAAUUCAGUUUGUUCUGUCUGUUACUACUUGGAACCACUUAAAUCCUACUUUCUGUAUUCAAUAAAAUCACUUUUAACUUA